AUUUGCAUCGUUUCUUUUCUUUUUUCACCAAAUCCUUCCAUCCAAACGGAGCAUAAGAGACAAGGCGUGAAACGCUAUAAAUUCCCAAUCAAAACCCUAAAAUAAUAUCCACAAACCAAUUGAUGAAGCCCCAACUUCAAAACUUCCCAUUGAAGUUUCCUAAAGAGAGACGGGAUUGAAAGAGGAAGAAGGGAAGUGAGAGGUGGCGUUGGAGUUGGAGUCGCUGGAGGAGGAAUAAGGGGUCGGCGCUUUGCAGCACUGGAAAAGGAAGAGAGAUGUAUCGCUGACGAUAAUGGCGACGGCAACUGUGACAGUGACAGUGGCAUAAUGGGGACAUCACUGGUAACGUAGAUGGAGAUGACAUAACAAUCGAUUGAAUAGGGCUAGCUAAUUCAUUUAAUUUUAUCUUUAUUGUUAUUGUCAAGCGAUUAUUUCUGUACAUGGAAAGAAGAGUAUGAUGUAGCUGGCCGAGAGAAUGGUGAUAAGCUUUUGUGGUGGAGUGGGUGCAUCCGUUACUCACACAUGGACGACAUUAACUAGAAGCGGUGCUGAUGACAUAAGGGUCAUGACCCGAAGGAGCAUUGGCGAUAGAGGCCGCCCACCUUCGCGAUGCUCACCAUCGGAAUGAGUGCAAGUGAUCAAGUUGUUGACAGUCGCGACAAAUCCGAUGGUAACUGUUGGAGUACUAUCAACCAAAAUCUGAAAUGAAACUGUCACUAGAGAUCCACCAGGAUUAGCCUCACCAAUGCCACUUCCAUGUCGACUUGGCCCAUCUGGCAGCACAGCGAAUCCUGACGGAAGAAGAGCCACAUUGUCCGGGUUUCCCCCAUGUAACACCGUAUUCAUCGCAGUACCAUCCACAGGAGCAUAAAUGACGAAUGAGCCAGUCGGGUCAAUGCUACUUUCUUGAAGUAUCAGCAUGUUGUUCUGAUCUCCAAAAAUGCUCUAAAGAUUAUUUGCAAAAGGUUUCAGCUCUGUGACCAUUAGCGAUAUGUGCUAUUUCUUGAAUCACUCCACCACUGGAAAGGAUGUCCCACUGUGAUUGUAAGGCAAUAAGCGGUGAUCAGUGCUAGAUAUAUUCUUCAAAUCAAACCAGCAAGAUAUUCA